rnacentral:rRNA from 1 species
GAUGAACGCUAGCGGCAGGCCUAACACAUGCAAGUCGAGGGAGAGGUUACCUUCGGGUCACCCACACCGGCGCACGGGUGCGUAACGCGUAUACAAUCUGCCUUUCACAUAGGGAUAGCCCGAAGAAAUUUGGAUUAAUACCUAAUGGUAUAUAAAAGCGGCAUCGUUUUUAUUUUAAAGCUACGUUAGUGAAAGUUGAUUAUGGUUUCUUUUAUUAAGUUGGGGGGGAACGGCCCCCCCAGGGGGCGAUUGAUAGGGGUUUUGAGGGGGAUGUCCCCCACAAUGGGACUGAGAUACGGACCAGAAUCCUACGGGAGGGAGCAGGGAGGAAAAUUGGACAAUGGGCGGAAGAAUGAUCCAGCCAUGCCGGGUGCAGGAUGAAGGUCCUAGGGAUUGUAAACUGCUUUUGUAAGGGAAGAAUAAGAGCUACGUGUAGUUUUACGACGGUACCUUACGAAUAAGCAUCGGCUAACUCCGUG